AUUGAACGCUGGCGGCAGGCUUAACACAUGCAAGUCGAGCGGGGUGAUGGUGCUUGCACUAUCACUUAGCGGCGGACGGGUGAGUAAUGCUUAGGAAUCUGCCUAUUAGUGGGGGACAACAUCUCGAAAGGGAUGCUAAUACCGCAUACGUCCUACGGGAGAAAGCAGGGGACCACUUGUGACCAUGCGCUAAUAGAUGAGCCUAAGUCGGAUUAGCUAGUUGGUGGGGUAAAGGCCUACCAAGGCGACGAUCUGUAGCGGGUCUGAGAGGAUGAUCCGCCACACUGGGACUGAGACACGGUCCAGACUCCUACGGGAGGCAGCAGUGGGGAAUAUUGGACAAUGGGGGGAACCCUGAUCCAGCCAUGCCGCGUGUGUGAAGAAGGCCUUAUGGUUGUAAAGCACUUUAAGCGAGGAGGAGGCUCUUUUGGUUAAUACCCAAGAUGAGUGGACGUUACUCGCAGAAUAAGCACCGGCUAACUCUGUGCCAGCCGCCGCAGUAACAC
rnacentral:rRNA from 1 species